rnacentral:lncRNA from 1 species
GAUCAGGGCAAGAAUCUAGAAAUUAUCUCUUCUUAACCCGUUCCAUUUAUAACCCUCAGAUCUCAGUCAGGAUUUUCUUCCCAAAUUUUGCACACUAUUAAUUUGUGGCUCUCAGUAUUGGUCAGAAGGCAGCAGAAGUGCUACUUUUCUUCAGCAGAGUUGACCAUCUCUCUCCACAGGAGCCCGGAAAACGCAGGAAUCAAAGUUCCCCGGAUAUGCAACUCACACGCAACAAACAGACUCCACCCUCUGUGCUGCUUCAGGGAGAGGUAUGGUUUUUCUAGGUAGGGUGCAUUUCCUUCAAAUGAACAUUCCAGUUUACUUACUGAAUUGCUUUCUUUGUGAUCAGAAAUAACUAUUUCCAAUGGUAUUGAGCGAAGCAAGAACCAGACUCAUACACUUUUUGUGUUAAGAGGCGCAAUGGCAUAAAAAGAGAAUCAGGAACUUCAGAAGUAAAUACUUUACCAUUUAUAAGGUAACAGGAACAGGCAUGAGCAUUCUCAUUUGUAGACGACGAGAAGAGGACCUGGAGUUUAAGCCACUUUCAAGACCACGCUACUCCUUAGGGGCAGAACCAGGAAUUCAAGCCAGAUCAUCUCAUUCCCAGAUGAUCCGUGGAUUCAAACCAGGCAAGACAAGUAGACUCUGUCCAGAGACUAAGAGCAGUUUUCAAAUCCCAGAGGAUGAACAGCAAGGCAAGAACCCAUAAAGACCUCCUUGGAGCUGAAGGAUGAACACGGCCAUUGUAAGCUAGAUAAUAAAACUGGUGUGAUACAAUAAAAAUAAAUAUUU